rnacentral:rRNA from 1 species
ACACCGGCAGCUCAAGUGGUAGCCGCUUUUAUUGGGCCUAAAGCGUCCGUAGCCGGUCUGAUAAGUCUCUGGUGAAAUCCCACAGCUUAACUGUGGGAAUUGCUGGAGAUACUAUCAUGACUCGAGGUCGGGAGAGGCUGGAGGUACUCCCAGGGUAGGGGUGAAAUCCUGUAAUCCUGGGAGGACCACCUGUGGCGAAGGCGUCCAGCUGGAACGAACCUGACGGUGAGGGACGAAAGCCAGGGGGGCGAACCGGAUUAGAUACCCGGGUAGUCCUGGCCGUAAACGAUGUGGACUUGGUGUUGGGAUGGCUUCGAGCUGCCCCAGUGCCGAAGGGAAGCUGUUAAGUCCACCGCCUGGGAAGUACGGCCGCAAGGCUGAAACUCAAAGGAAUUGACGGGG